rnacentral:lncRNA from 1 species
CCAGGGGGGACGAGGCCACGAUGUGUCUGGCAGAUGUUGCUGUCCUCUGGGGUCCUGGCUCUGCCGGGAGAUGAGAAUAAUGGGUAGGAUUUAGAUCUUCCCUGUCUCUGGUCCACACUCCAGUCCAGUUGGUGGUGGUAAUGCCCUUUAAAGUUGGUUGCCCUCCCCCCAAAAAACACAGAAUGGUUUGAGAGGUAACAUGCCGCUGUGCUGGGGUUGUGUGUGUACGGAGCUCUGUAGUCCAGGGUAUGCCAGGGUAUCGCCUGAUCCAGGACACGGCCGGACUACAGGCCUUAACUCCUCUCGCAACUAAAGUCCAAUUGGAGGGAUGGUGGACAGGGAGCCAGUCCAGGAGCAUGUACAGCACUUGCAAAACAUUCGGCCACCGCCCGCAGAUGAUCCGGCGCACACUGUGUCUUGGUGCCUGUGGUCAGGGGUUGGGAGCAGGCUCCAGCUCCUCAGGGAUGCAGUGCUGAGACUGUCUGGUGGUCGACUAGACCGGAUAGAGUAUUUUAUACGUAUGAAACGGCCAUCCAUUUCCUAACCCUUGUGAAACUAUUUCAACACUGUGAUAAAACUGCCAUUUUGCAUUUUCUAAAACUGCCUCAUCUGGUGAUCUGGCCAGGCUUUAAAGGUUGAGAUCCUUCCCCUCAAGAAACAGAAGGUGGCGUAGUCUAGUCUACUCAGACGGCCCAAUUCUGCUAUUUC